rnacentral:rRNA from 1 species
CAGUCGCCGCGGGAAUACAGAGGGUGCAAGCGUUGUUCGGAAUUACUGGGCGUAAAGCGCACGUAGGCGGCUUGGUAAGUUAGAGGUGAAAGCCCGGAGCUCAACUCCGGAAUUGCCUUUAAGACUGCCGAACUAGUAGGUGAGAGAGGUAAGUGGAAUUCCGAGUGUAGAGGUGAAAUUCGUAGAUAUUCGGAAGAACACCAGUGGCGAAGGCGGCUUACUGGCUCAUUCUAGACGCUGAGGUACGAAAGCGUGGGGAGCGAACAGGAUUAGAUACCCGUGUAGUCCCUGUCUCUUAUAC